rnacentral:rRNA from 1 species
UUCGCAAUGCCCGAAAGGGUGACGAAGCGACGCCGCGUGUGGGAAGAAGGCCUUCGGGUUGUAAACCGCUGUUGGGAGUUAGGAAGUGUGGGAGUGUUAAUAGCGCUUCCACUUGACUAAAGCUCCAGAGGAAGCCACGGCUAACUCUGUGCCAGCAGCCGCGGUAAUACAGAGGCGGCAAGCGUUGUUCGGAAUUAUUGGGCGUAAAGAGCACGUAGGCGGCUCUGUAAGUCAGCUGUGAAAGCCUUCUGCUUAACGGAAGAACAGCAGUUGAAACUACAGGGCUUGAGUGCGGGAGGGGAGAGUGGAACUUCUGGUGGAGCGGUGAAAUGCGUAGAUAUCAGAAGGAACGCUGGCGGCGAAAGCGGCUCUCUGGCCCAUAACUGACGCUGAGUGUGCGAAAGCUAGGGGAGCAAACGGGAUUAGAUACCCCGGUAGUCCUAGCCGUAAACGAUGGGCACUAAGUAGAGGGGUUUU